UGCCCCGAAGACCGGGAUAACAGCGGGAAACCGCUGCUAAUACUGGAUGCCCCACCGGGCCGCAUGACCUGGUGAGGAAAUGGAUUCCGCUUCGGGAGGGCCUCGCGGCCUAUCAGCUUGUUGGUGGGGUAACGGCCUACCAAGGCAGCGACGGGUAGCUGGUCUGAGAGGACGAUCAGCCACACUGGGACUGAGACACGGCCCAG
rnacentral:rRNA from 1 species